rnacentral:misc_RNA from 1 species
GGGUCCUCCAGCUUGGAUAGGCUCAGGGACUUGAAGUUGUCGACUUUGUCGAUGAGGCCUGACGAGAGGAAAAACCUGCCAAUUUGGACAAAGGGGGCUGUUGCCAUGAAUGACUCCACUGCCAUGGCACUGGGGUUUUUGUGGCCAAUCUCUCGGUCGAAGUUUUUGCUGUUGAUGAUUUCUGACCUCCAUUCAGUGUUGUAGGAAUACCUCGUCUCCUUCUUCACCUGCCCAUCCUCGGUGUACUCCCUGGAC